rnacentral:sRNA from 1 species
CUGUCACAUACAGCACAGUGUGGCGCCAGAGA